rnacentral:rRNA from 1 species
CUGCAGCUCAAGUGGUGACCGCUAUUAUUGGGCCUAAAACGUUCGUAGCCGGUUUGGUAAAUGUUUGGGUAAAUCGUGUAGCUUAACUAUACGAAUUCCGGAUAGACUGCCAAACUUGAGACCGGGAGAAGCUAGAGGUACUCCUGGGGUAGAGGUGAAAUUCUGUAAUCCUAGGGGGACCACCAGUGGCGAAGGCGUCUAGCUAGAACGGGUCUGACGGUGAGGAACGAAGCCCUGGGGCGCGAACCGGAUUAGAUACCCGAGUAGUCC